GACGAACGCUGGCGGCGUGCUUAACACAUGCAAGUCGAGCGGUAAGGCCCUUCGGGGUACACGAGCGGCGAACGGGUGAGUAACACGUGGGUGACCUGCCCUCCACUUCGGGAUAAGCCUGGGAAACUGGGUCUAAUACCGGAUAGGACCACUGGAUGCAUGUCUGGUGGUGGAAAGUUUUUUCGGUGGGGGAUGGGCCCGCGGUCUAUCAGCUUGUUGGUGGGGUGAUGGCCUACCAAGGCGACGACGGAUAGCCGGCCUGAGAGGGUGAUCGGCCACACUGGGACUGAGACACGGCCCAGACUCCUACGGGAGGCAGCAGUGGGGAAUCUUGCGCAAUGGGCGGAAGCCUGACGCAGCAACGCCGCGUGAGGGAUGACGGCCUUCGGGUUGUAAACCUCUUUCGCGAUCGACGAAGGCCCUCCUUGUUGGGGGGUUGACGGUAGGUCGAGAAGAAGCACCGGCCAACUACGUGCCAGCCGCCGCGGUAA
rnacentral:rRNA from 1 species